rnacentral:rRNA from 1 species
AAAAUUUAAAAUUAAAAUACUAAAAUAGUAGAUAAAUAUUUAUUUAUUUAAACUUAAAUAAUUUGGCGGUAUUUUAGUUCAUUUAGAGGAAUCUGUUUAAUAAUUGAUAUUCCACGAAUAAAUUUACUUAAUUUAAAAUUUUAUAUAUCGUUGUUAAAAAAAUAUUUUUAAAAAAAAUUAAUAUUUAAAAAUUAAAAUUUAAAUUUAAAUCAGAUCAAGAUGUAGAUUAUAAUUAAGAAUAUAAUGGAUUACAAUAAAUAUAUUUAAAUGGAUAUUAAUUUGUAAGAAUUAAUUGAAAAUGGAUUUAAAUGUAAUUUUAUUUAAUUUAAUAAAAUGAUUAUUUAUUAAAAUAUGU